CAUGCAGAAUUCCAUAUCUUACUUUGAAGAUAUUUGUUUGAGAGAGAAUCAGAUGAUUAAGCAAGCUCUUCUUGCUAACUUGGCCUAUGUAGAGUUGGAACUAGAAAAUCCUGAGAAGGCCUUGUCAACUGCGAGGUCUCUCUUGGAACUUGCAGAAUGUUCGAGAAUUUAUGUUUUUCUUGGUCAUGUGUAUGCAGCAGAGGCCCUCUGCUUGCUGAACAAGCCUAAGGAAGCUGCUGAGCACUU
rnacentral:misc_RNA from 1 species